CGGAUCGUAAAGCUCUGUUGUUAGGAAAAGAACAAGUACCGUUCGAAUAGGGCGGUACCUUGACGGUACCUAACCAGAAAGCCACGGCUAACUACGUGCCAGCAGCCGCGGUAAUACGUAGGUGGCAAGCGUUGUCCGGAAUUAUUGGGCGUAAAGGGCUCGCAGGCGGUUUCUUAAGUCUGAUGUGAAAGCCCCCGGCUCAACCGGGGAGGGUCAUUGGAAACUGGGGAACUUGAGUGCAGAAGAGGAGAGUGGAAUUCCACGUGUAGCGGUGAAAUGCGUAGAGAUGUGGAGGAACACCAGUGGCGAAGGCGACUCUCUGGUCUGUAACUGACGCUGAGGAGCGAAAGCGUGGGGAGCGAACAGGAUUAAAUACCCUGGUAGUCCACGCCGUAAACGAUGAGUGCUAAGUGUUAGGGGGUUUCCGCCCCUUAGUGCUGCAGCUAACGCAUUAAGCACUCCGCCUGGGGAGUACGGUCGCAAGACUGAAACUCAAAGGAAUUGACGGGGGCCCGCACAAGCGGUGGAGCAUGUG
rnacentral:rRNA from 1 species